GGCGACCAUUUUGGCCCUUCGACAUCUUCAUGCCGCUCUCGCUCCUGCUCUCGUCACCCCAGCGAUCCCACCGGGCGGCGAGAUCUGCCUUAAGCCUGUUUAUCAGCCGCGGUCAUGAUUUCGGCCGAAGGCCAAAGGUUAGAACGCGUCGAAUUUCCCGCUUCUCACCGCUUCUCAAACCAUAAUUCCAUGACUACCGCAAUGCACGUAAUAAGGUGCGCGCACAGCCUGAAUCCCAUUGGCAAAUGGGCCAAAACCGGCG
rnacentral:misc_RNA from 1 species